UGAAUAUAUUUUUUGUUUUAAUAUAAUUUAUUAUCCAAUGCUGUAAAAAUGUGUAUAAUAAAUAUUUAAUUUCAACAUUUCUGUCAACGAAGAUUUACGUCAUAGCCUGCGACACACGUUUCUUUCAGCUCGGCGUAGUGUCAGACAGGUGGCUGUUGCAAACAAACCGGCGGGUGUGUCAUGGGCCAUGGAUCCCAAAGGGAAAAAGAGAAAGAUAGCUGAGGAGAACAGAGGAUUCCACAGUUCUUGGACCGAAUCAUUUGCUUUCAUUGCCAAUGUGGAAGGAUUGCCUGCAUGUUUGCUUUGUAAUGAGAAGUUGUCAAAUAACAAAAAGAGUACGUGGAAAGACAUUUCCAUUCUUCCUGACAGUUAUAGGAACAUGAAGAAAUAUGCAUUUGGAGUAUUAUCCAUCUUUGGAUCAACAUACCUGUGCGAGCAGAUAUUCUCAAACAUGAACUACAUAAAAUCCAAAUACCGCACCCGCCUCACAGAUGAGAGCUUGCAGUCCUGCGUGAAGAUUAAAGUUACAUCUUACAUGCCCGAUGUUGAGAAGCUGUCCAGUGAUGUCCGAAAACAGAAGUCACAUUAAACGGGUCCGAGGAUGGCUGCAUUGUAUUGUGCGUGUCAAAAGAGAAGAGGGUGCUGCUGCAUUUUACCCUUGCACAUUUGCAGAAAACUAAAGAGAAGAGGAUAAUGCACAGAAAUCGAACUUAAACUGUAUUAUUUUAAUUUGAUAUACUUUACCUUUUCAAAAGGCUGCUGUUUUAUUGCACUCUGUCUGUUGCCCAGAUAAGGGGGAAAAGAGAAGAGGAUUGUAUUGUAUUAUUGAGGAUUGAAAAGCAUUUUAUUUCCUUGGGGAGGUCUGAAAUUACAGGAGGCCUAUUAUGCACGUUGCACAUUUUGUUGUUGUUUUUUCGAAUCCUAAAAUAAAAAUGACAUCAAAAAUC